rnacentral:rRNA from 1 species
AUCUUUUAGUCAUAAUUAAAAGUAUCUCCUGCUCAAUGAAAAUUUAAAUAGCCGCAGAAUUUUAUCUGUGCUAAGGUAGCAUAAUCAUUUGCCUUAUAAUUAAAGGAUAGCACAAAAGGAACUACGAAUUUUAAGCUAUUUCAAUAUUAAAUAACAAAAUUACCAUCAAAGUAAAAAAACUAUCACAAAACAGAAAGACGAUAAGACCCUGAGAACUUUACUAAAGUUAAUCAGCUGGGGUGGCUCUUUAAAAAAAUCUUAACAAAAAAAAACCAAACAACUUAAUCAAAAUCCCAAGUUACCUCAGGGAUAACAGCAUAAUUUUUUUAUUAAGCUCUUAUAAAAAAAAAAGAUUAUGACCUCGAUGUUGAAUUAAAUUUUCUAUUACACAUUGAAAAAAAUUAAAAAGAAAGUCUGUUCGACUUAUAAAAAUUUACA